rnacentral:rRNA from 1 species
CCAAUAGCGUAUAUUAAAGUUGCUGCAGUUAAAAAGCUCGUAGUUGAAUUUCGGGACCAUCAUGUCGGUCGUGCUUAGGUACGUACUGGCAUUGUUGGUUUCUCCCUUCUGACGAACCAUGAUGUCAUUUAUUUGGUGUUGUGGGGAAUCAGGACUGUUACUUUGAAAAAAUUAGAGUGUUUAAAGCAGGCUCACGCUUGAAUACAUUAGCAUGGAAUAAUGAAAUAGGACGUUUGAUUCUAUUUUGUUGGUUUCUAGGAUCGACGUAAUGAUUAAUAGGGAUAGUUGGGGGCAUUAGUAUUCAAUUGUCAGAGGUGAAAUUCUUGGAUUUAUUGAAGAUUAACUACUGCGAAAGCAUUUGCCAAGGAUGUUUUCAUUAAUCAAGAACGAAAGUUAGGGGAUCGAAGACGAUCAGAUACCGUCGUAGUCUUAACCAUAAACUAUGCCGACUAGGGAUCGGAUGAUGUUAAUUUUUUAAUGACUCAUUCGGCGCCUUACG